ACUUUUUCAACAACGGAUCUCUUGGGUUUCUGGCAUCGAUUGAAAGAAACGCAGCAAAAUGCGAUAAGUAAUCGUUGAAUUUCGCAGAAAUUUCAGUGAAUCAUCGAAUCUUUGAACGCCACAUUUCGCGCCCGCUGGUAUUUCCGGCGGGCAUCGCCUGGUUUUCGAGCCGUCAUUU
rnacentral:rRNA from 1 species